GAUGAACGCUAGCGGCAGGCCUAAUACAUGCAAGUCGAGGGGCAGCGCGGUAGCAAUACUGGCGGCGACCGGCGCACGGGUGCGUAACACGUAUGCAACCUACCUUCAACUGGAGGAUAGCCCGGGGAAGCUCGGAUUAAUACUCCAUAACACAGGGAUCCCGCAUGGGAAUAUUGUUAAAGCUACGGCGGUUGAAGAUGGGCAUGCGUUCGAUUAGCUAGUUGGUGUAGGUAACGGCUCACCAAGGCUACGAUCGAUAGGGGGUCUGAGAGGAUGAUCCCCCAACUGGUACUGAGAUACGGACCAGACUCCUACGGGAGGCAGCAGUAGGGAAUAUUGGUCAAAUGGGGACGCAAAGGCCUGGAACCAGGCCAUGCCGCGUGCAGGAAGAAGG
rnacentral:rRNA from 1 species